rnacentral:rRNA from 1 species
GACGAACGCUGGCGGCGUGCCUAAUACAUGCAAGUAGAACGCUGAAGAGAGGAGCUUACUCUUCUUGGAUGAGUUGCGAACGGGUGAGUAACGCGUAGGUAACCUGCCUUGUAGCGGGGGAUAACUAUUGGAAACGAUAGCUAAUACCGCAUAACAAUGGAUGACACAUGUCAUUUAUUUGAAAGGGGCAAUUGCUCCACUACAAGAUGGACCUGCGUUGUAUUAGCUAGUAGGUGAGGUAAUGGCUCACCUAGGCGACGAUACAUAGCCGACCUGAGAGGGUGGGCGGCCACACUGGGACUGAGACACGGCCCAGACUCCUACGGGAGGCAGCAGUAGGGAAUCUUCGGCAAUGGGGGCAACCCUGACCGAGCAACGCCGCGGGAGUGAAGAAGGUUUUCGGAUCGUAAAGCUCUGUUGUAAGUCAAGAACGGGUGUGAGAGUGGAAAGUUCACACUGUGACGGUAGCUUACCAGAAAGGGACGGCUAACUACGUG